UAGGGACCUGACUUCAAGUGGGGGACAACCUAGGGAAACUUGGGCUAAUACCGCAUGAGCUCUGAGGAGGAAAGUGAGCGACUCACGCAAGUGGGGUACACGCUUGAAGAGGAACCUGCGUCGGAUUAGCUAGUUGGUUAGGUAACGGCUGACCAAGGCGAUGAUCCGUAGCUGGUC
rnacentral:rRNA from 1 species